UUUAAUCAUCUAAAUUAUUGAUUGUAUAGAUCUUGUAAUGGAGGUACUUUUAUUAGUGCUUUCUAUUUGAGACCAAUAACCUAGCUCAUAUUUUUUAUUUAGCUAACUAUAUUAUAGUCUCUUUUCAUGACUAUGAUCUUUCACAUUCUUAUAUUACGUUUUAUCUCUUUCCUUUGACCAAAUCAAGCAGAAAGCAUUGACAUCAAAGAAACCCCAUCACCUAAUGCAUGAUGAUGAACUCUUAACACUACACAUUUUAACUCCACUAAAACAUGGACCUCCCAUAAUGGCUUGUUUUUGCUUAGUGGAGUUGACACUGCAAUAUCAGCUAAGUAAGCAUUUACGGCUGCAAUAUCACCUCCAUCCUUUGGUGGGAAUCUUAUGUUUUCCUUGAUCGUGCCUUAUAAGUAGAGAUGAGAGAGUAAACACAACUACACAACCCCUAUAUAAAGCCUUGUCAUUGCCACCAAAUUCACACACCAAAUUCACAUUGUAUUCCUUUUUUAGAGAUCCUUCAAACCUUCACUGCCCAACAACAAAACAAAUGGCCGAACAAUCAGAAAUUCUAUAUGCUAAACCCUACACUUGCAUUAUUCACAACCUUCCUAUCGAAUAUGAAAAUGGAAAGCCGGUAGGAAGAAGUUUGAAUGACCUUAGGGAGAUACUACAAUGCUUAGGGUUCAAGGUACGCAAAAUAACACCAAAGUGGACUCACAGAGGAUUCAUGAGCUAUGCAUUCAUCGAAUUCGGGACUAGUGAGGAGCAUUUCAAGUCGGCUUUUAAGCUUUAAGUGAAGUUUUAACAAGCUUCUCAUGGUAUAUUGAACUGGUUAGGUUUUGGUGAGAAAUCGGGGCCCUAUUAUGGAUGGCUAAGUCGAAUGAUUAUUUAUUUGUCAAUCAUCCAGUAGACUUUACUUCUGUCCCAGCCCGUUGGAGGAAGGAAGCGCGAACACUCGCCAAUGAAGACGAAACCACUGUUUUUGACAUAAUCAAAAGGUUCCUGCUAUCUUAGUUUAUAUACUCGUAUUUUAUUGUCAUGCUAUGUACUAGUUUUAUAUUUGAGGCGAGUUAUUUUUCUCAUGUUAUCUACUUAAAUCUGCAAGAAGUCAAUUGCAAUUAUAGUUUUAUAUUUUGGGAUGGACAUUCGACUUUGUAAUAAGUGUUUUUUGUUAGUGAAGUUUUAUCUAGUAAAAUGAGUUUAAGUUAUGAACA